AGUAUGUAGGGUUUCAAUAUUUAUUAUCAAUUGGAGGCUAUUUCUUUCUCAUUAAGAGGCAGGCAAAUUAAAAGAUUCCGGCACUUCCAUUUUUCAGAAUCAUGCAGCAGAUUGUGUUGCUUUCAUAAAAGGGUGCAUUGAUCUCACCUUUGGUGGAGGCUCAAUUUUGGAGCUUCUAGAAGUUCAUCUUACGGGCAAGAAAGUGGUGAAUGCAGAUGCAUUUUGGAAUGGCUUGCGACAUGAAAAGCUAAAAGUUAUGAUAGAUGAUGAAGCUGCAAUGUUACAAUUAUAUAAAAGGCAUACGGUUAGUGCAGUAUUGCACCAUGUCUGACAUGGUGCAGGUUUUUAACACAUUCAAGACCAUCUCUUUGGGAGGAAUAUUCAGAACAAUAGCAUAGUUGGAGUAUCAUGAUUAGCCAGCAGCAGGCUGUGUGUUGAGGUGCAGAACAAGCAACAAUAGCAUACGGUUCAAUUGUACAAAUCAGUGGGUGUACAAGACAGAUCAACAAGUGCAACAACAACUUGAUCAAUUGUGGGAAGAUCUGAACAAAGCAAGUGUGUGGAGUUCUGAUUCAACAGAAUCAGAAAUACUCUGUACAGCAUCACUAAUCAGUUUAGUUGUUUGUGUGUAUGUAUUCAGCAGGUUGUUUGUUCAAGAUUAGUAGCCACCAACAAAUGUUCAGCAGCAGCUCUGGUUCAGCUAUCUGAACAACAACAGCAACAUUAAAAGCAGUAGGUAGUUGGGCCGCAAGUCUGUACAGAUCAGUAGGGUUUGUACAGCAAGGUACAGAGUGUCCUAAAUGUACAGAAUGUUCUGUGCAGCGAGAUGCAGAUCAGGAGCUGAAGUUUAGGGAAUAUGCAUUGAAGCACAUGUGAUCCGGGGCUGAAUUAAGAAUGUGAAUUAGCGUGCAACAGCAGCAUAGGAGAGUUUUGAUGUUGAUUAAUGCUAAUUGGAUGAAUCUUGAAAUGUUGAUAUGAUUUAAAGAAAUGUUAAAAUUAUAGAAUUUGUUGUAGAAUACUCGUGAAGAUUACAUGUUAGGUUAUUGUUGGAUAUUGAUAAUUAGUGGGAUAUGAUAAAAAGUAUUGAGAUUAUGAGUUGUGUUCGGAAAUAUUUGAUACUAGUGGAAGUAUCUAAUAAUUUGGUGUCCUUAAAAUAAAUUAGGAGUAUUCUUGAUUUUUUGUAUGAAUGUACAUUUGUUUUUGUUUAGAAAAUAUAAAGAGAUCAAUUAGAAAGGCGAGUAAUCUUU